rnacentral:lncRNA from 1 species
AUGGAUUUGAAAAACGCAGAAUGUAUAUGGGACUCUUUAAAUGAACUGCACAAAAAUGAUAAACAGGCAUAUGAAAAAUUCAUGAAAAAGCAUAUGGACGAAAUGUCCCAAAUGAAACCUAUUAAACCGAAAUUUGGUUAUUGUGUAAUGACGGAUGUAGAAAAGGUUUCUAUAUGUACCCAAACAAAUGAAUAUACUGAAAAAUUGUGUAAUUAUUUUAUUUAUAUAUAUUAUACAAAAAAUAUGAAAGAGCCUAUACUUCCAUCAUCGUUAUUUGAUAAUUUGGAUAAAAUUAAUUUUGAUCAUAUUUAUAUAAGUACUUGUAAAAUUAAAGGAGAAUCAUCUAAGGAUAUGUAUGCAGAAGCAGUUAUACAUUCGAUUAUAUAUAAACAAAUGAAUAAUGUUAAAUUUAAAAAUAUUAUUACUACUCAUAUACUUGAAACGAUCAAUGCUAACCAUAUAACAUUAAAAGAUAAUAUCAAAGUUAAUAUAAAUUCAUUUAAAUAUAUAGAGUUAGAUUAUAUUCCUAAAACAACACAUUUUUUAAAUCCGCAUUGUAUAAAUUAUACUACAACCGAUAAUAAUAAUAUUAACAGUAAUAAUAAUAGCAAUAAAAAUUCUGUUAUUGAUGAAAAUGAUAUAAAAUUUUAUAAUAUAUUAAAUGAAAAACAAAAUAAAAUAAAUAAUAAUAAUUAUGAGGAUGUAAAAAAAAAUAAACCAAUAAAAUUACAUGAUACGUCAAACGAUAUUUUAAAUGAGAUACAAACAGUAAGAACUACUAAAAAAUCAAAAAAUGAUGCAGUUAAUUUAAUUAAUAUACCCAAACAAGUAAAAUCAUAUAAUUACACCAUAAUUGAUAGGUACGAUUUAUUUUAUCCCCUCUUAAAACGUUAAGUAUAUACACCUGUGUAUAUAUAUGUGCGUAUGUAUGUAUGUAUAUAUAUAUAUAUAUAUUUGUUCACUUGUUACGUUUAUCACUUAUUAUUCAAAAAAGAGUUAUUUUACAAAAACCCA